rnacentral:rRNA from 1 species
ACUGCUCAGUAACACGUGGAUAACUUACCCUUGGGUCGGGGAUAAACCCGGGAAACUGGGUAUAAUACCCGAUAGUGCUCGAAUGCUGGAAUGCAUCGAGUGCGAAAGCUCCGACGCCCAAGGAUGGGUCUGCGGCCUAUCAGGUAGCAGUGGGUGUAAUGGACCUACUAGCCUACAACGGGUACGGGUUGUGAGAGCAAGAGCCCGGAGAUGGAUUCUGAGACACGAAUCCAGGCCCUACGGGGUGCAGCAGGCGCGAAACCUUUACAAUGCUGGAAACAGCGAUAGGGGGACCUCGAGUGCCUUGGUACAACCAAGGCUGUCGUUAUGCCUAAAAAGCAUGAUAUAGCAAGGGCCGGGCAAGACCGGUGCCAGCCGCCGCGGUAACACCGGCGGCUCGAGUGGUAACCGUUAUUAUUGGGUUUAAAGGGUCUGUAGCCGGCCUGGUUAGUCUUUUGGGAAAUCCGGCAGCUUAACUGUCGGGCUUUCAGAGGAUACUGCCAGGCUCGAGACCGGGAGAGGUGAGAGGUACUUCAGGGGUAGGGGUGAAAUCUUGUAAUCCUUGAAGGACCACCAGUGGCGAAGGCGUCUCACCAGAACGGAUCUGACGGCAAGGGACGAAAGCUAGGGGCACGAACCGGAUUAGAUACCCGGGUAGUCCUAGCCGUAAACAAUACUCGCUAGGUGUCGGCCACGGUGCGACCGUGGUCGGUGCCGUAGGGAAACCGUGAAGCGAGCCACCUGGGAAGUACGGCCGCAAGGCUGAAACUUAAAGGAAUUGGCGGGGGAGCAC